GACGAACGCUGGCGGCGUGCUUAACACAUGCAAGUCGAGCGGAGCGGCGAACGGGUGAGUAACGCGUGAGUAACUGCCCCCCUCUCUGGGAUAACAGUUGGAAACGGCUGCUAAUACCGGAUCGUGGGGGAUGACUCGCGUCCUAUCAGCUUGUUUGUCGGGUAGGUGCCCACCAAGGCGACGCCGGGUAGCCGGCCUGAGCGGGCGACCGGCCACAUUGGGCUGAGAGACGGCCCAAACUCUAACGGGAGGCAGCAGUGGGGAAUAGUGCACAAUGGGGGACACCCUGAUGCAGCAACGCCGGGUGCGGGAUGAUGGCCUUCGGGUUGGAAACCGCUUUCAGCAAUGACGCGGUAGUGGCAGAAGAAGCACCGGCUAACUACGUGCCAGCAGCCGCGGUAAUUC
rnacentral:rRNA from 1 species